CCCAAGGGAUGCCCUAGUAACGGCGAGUGAAGCGGCAACAGCUCAAAUUUGAAAGCUAGCCUUCGGGUUCGCAUUGUAAUUUGUAGAGGAUGAUUUGGGGAAGCCGCCUGUCUAAGUUCCUUGGAACAGGACGUCAUAGAGGGUGAGAAUCCCGUAUGUGACAGGAAAUGGCACCCUAUGUAAAUCUCCUUCGACGAGUCGAGUUGUUUGGGAAUGCAGCUCUAAAUGGGAGGUAAAUUUCUUCUAAAGCUAAAUAUUGGCGAGAGACCGAUAGCGCACAAGUAGAGUGAUCGAAAGAUGAAAAGCACUUUGGAAAGAGAGUUAAAAAGCACGUGAAAUUGUUGAAAGGGAAGCGCUUGCAAUCAGACUUGUUUAAACUGUUCGGCCGGUCUUCUGACCGGUUUACUCAGUUUGGACAGGCCAGCAUCAGUUUCGGCGGCCGGAUAAAGGCUCUGGGAAUGUGGCCUCCACUUCGGUGGAGGUGUUAUAGCCCAGGGUGUAAUACGGCCAGCCGGGACUGAGGUCCGCGCUUCGGCUAGGAUGCUGGCGUAAUGGUUGUAAGCGACCCGUCUUGAACCCCGGGACCAA
rnacentral:rRNA from 1 species